ACCCAUUUUGCAGGUGCUGUGGUCUUACCUCCACAUGUGAAACGGGCCUCUCUUGCUGUUUUUGCACAAACAGGAGCUGCUGCCUCACGCUGGAUCUGCCUCCCAUAAAUGCACCAACAUCCUGCCCUGAAGGAGAGAAGUUCCAGACCCUGCCAAGUAUCAACAUCAAGAACGUGUCCCACGGAGACAAGGCCACACAGCAGCUUCCAUGUGUCAGCAUUCCCACUGAGUCCUUCCAACAGGCAGCCCAAAUUCACUGCUCACACACACAGUUACGCAGGUAACUUGGCUCUGGACAGAGAAAUGGAGGAAAUACCUGACAGAUUUACACCACGGAGAGCAGCACUUAUUUGGAGAAAUUGCUGUCUAACAGAUCCUUUGUGGACUUCCGACCAAAACCAUCCAGUGCAGCAUAUGGGGACAAUCAGAAGAGAAGGGGUAGCCAAGCUCUUCCAGGCACCAUGGGCAUCUCCCACAGCACCACUCAGGAGCUGAGGCGCUGCAGAUUUGUACAGCCUGAGGCAGUCCCAGCCUGGCAGGAGGUGGGCAGAGAGAAGGGAACUGCCUCGCUAAAGGUCACAGAGCAGAAGGAAAAGCAGCACCCUGAACCCUGCAGAGGCUCCAGACAAUUUGUCGAGCAGCCACUCAUGCCAGUGUUAUCUCAGAGCCCAUCCCGGCCAAAUCUGUUGAGGAUGUGAGCAACAGCAUUUUAAUGGUACCCAUAAAUAGUUUAUUUAAGGCUGAGACUUGAUGACUACAGCACUGUCGUUAUCAGUGUCUGGAAUAAACCAUCUCUGAUAAUAAAUAAUCCAGGAUAACUCCCAGCAUCAAAACUUCUGUCCUAAGUUGCUCCCAUUUCCAUCCUAUCAAUCAGAAAGUCUGAGUGUUUGCAGCAGCUCAUACAGUAAAUUGACUUUAGCUUUCUUCUUUCCAAAUACUGAAACCGGCUCUUUCCAGGGCACUGCCAUGUAAUUUACAGCUCUAUCACCACCUCCUUAAUAGCUGCCGUGUUCUUUGGAGUCCUUUGAAAGUGAACAUAAUAAAAAGAUACGAGCUGAGACUGACCAUGGGUU